GGGUGGGUAGCUCAGUGGUAGAGCGUAUGUUUAGCCAGCACAAGGUUCUGGGUUCAAUCCCCAGUACCUCCA
rnacentral:tRNA from 1 species